rnacentral:miRNA from 8 species
CAAGCUCGCUUUUACGGGUGUG